ensembl:lncRNA
AUGAGGUCCUCACGUCCAUCUGCUUGCUUUCCAACCUGUCUCCCAGAGAGCAAGCUCUCCCUUAUUCCUGAGAGUCUUCAGCAAGCGGAUAUCCUGGCUUCCAUAGUAACCCAGAUGUCAUCUCUUCAAAGGAUCAUGGCUUGUUUACUAGUUCUUCCUCAGAGCCAGGUUAUAGGCCCUAAUUCCUCACCUGGUGAGACAGAAAGAGACGAACACUAUUGGAGAGAAUCCUCAACAGACUCGGAAACAGUGACGACGGCUUGAGAAUUUUAUAGAGUCCCAGACCAUCAGGGCUCGCCAUCCUUCGGAGGUCUUCUCCACAGCUCCUCAUUUUAUUUUACUGCCAUAUUAAAUUUUUAAAAAUUUUAUUCAUUUUAUGGGUAGGUAAUUUGUGCCCAAGGUGCAAAAUUCAAAAGGCAUAAAACAGUAUACGGUGAACAGUCUCUCUCAUUCCUCACCGGUAGCCAAUAUCAUCAAUUCCUUGUGUUUUAACUAUAUUUAAAAAUAGCACUGUUCCCUUCUUCUGUUCAUGUAGAAAAUAUGAUUAUUCCCGCAGAAGGAAAUAAAAAUCAUAUACAAUCCCAUUAUUCAGAGCUGAAUACUGUUAAUGUUUUGGUGUAUAAUCAGUGAGGCUUUUCUCAUUGCUCUGACACACAUAUCUCUAGUUACCAACUUGCACAACCUGAAUUUAUUGCUUGUUUACAUUAAAUAUUGAUUCUUUAAAAACAAAGGUCUGAGAGGAUACAUGCUAAACUGAUAAUGAGUAUCUUGAAGAGAGGAGCUGGACUGGGUUAGGACAAGAAGAAUUUUCUUUCUAUUUAUUAUACAAAAUUUAAAAAAUGCAAAUAUCCUUAUAUAUUACUUCCACCCAGUAUUCCAGAAUCUGAUUUUAAAUGACUGCAUCAGAAGGCUACUAUUUAAUCAGCCCUUCCUUACUUGGUUUGAAGAUGUUUGCUGGUUUUGCUGUUAUCAACAAAGCUGGGGUGGGCAUUUAUGUACGUCUUUGCACACUCAUCUAAUGUUUCCUUGGGGCAGUUUCUAAGAAACGGAAUUGCUAAAGGGGUUUUUGAUCCAUCACGUCAAAGUUCCUUCCUUCUGGACUGUUUCAAUCUCCCAUUCCACCAGCAGUGCUUGUUCCCCACUCCCACUGCAGAUUUGUUCAGCAUAGCACAAGCAUAAGGUUUGUGCGAUAGAGGGGCAAAGCCAGGGCGGGAGGCUGACACGGUUUCUUCUCUGGGUGACAUUCAAGAAGGGGGCUGUGUAUAGUUUGAGAAGGCUGCACUGGUGCCUCAGACCCCUAGGAUGCUGGAAGGAGCCCAGAGGGGACCUCAGUGGCCAAAGGGAAAAGGAAUGAAUGCCAAACCCUCAGGCCAGUAGGGCAGGGGACUUAGCUAGUCCAAAUCACAAGGUCUAAAGGUUGUGCAGCAAGCAUCUGCAUCUGGAGCCAGAUCCUUCCUCUAGGCCUCCAAGCAUAGGGUGAGUGUAGCCCUAUUAUCUGGAGUGAUUCUGCAGAGCUAAAGGCAUAGCUGAGAUGGCUCCUCUUAGAGCUCUUCCAGCCCAUGAGAGUUACAUCCCUCAAAUUCAUGUGGCACAGGGAGGAUCUUCCAUCUCCUGCCUCCUCUAAAUGUCACAGGUGCUUGUUCCUGCUCAAUUCUUUGCUCCCUUAGAUCCUCUAGCAAGUUGACCCAUCCCACUUGGAAGGAGGAAUGAGAGGAAGGAGGAGAUGGACUUGUUGAUUUAAUACUGAAAAGAUGGCACUCCGGAAGUGCCCUUCCUCUCUGGAGCCCAGAUUCUGUACGGUAGCUGAGGUUUCCUCUUGAUGGGGCGAAAAAAGAAGGCCCAA